AUGUGGAUGGGAAGGGGGAGGAAGGGGUAGCACUGGGAAGCUUAUCUAGUUCGAAGCCAUCACCACUGCUAGAACAGCACCACAAAGCCCAGGCUGCCCUGUUGGUAGUUUGAACACCUGAUUCUUUCAAAGCAUGAACCUUCAAGAUAGUUUUUACUCAAUCUCCUUCCUUUUACAGAGAGAGAAGAGUUGAAAUUGCUGGAGUAUCUUUGGAUCACCCCUAUGUUUGAACCUACAAACAUUAGUGCCAAUCUCCAGAGUGUGGCACAUGAAGUAUUUGGCCCAAGGUCUUCAGCCUUUUCAACAGACGGUAACUGAAUAAGAAGAGAAGCUAUGGAAGGUGUGAUGCUUUAAGACUCUUUGAUGGCCUUCAAGGGGUGUUCUGGGGACCUACACAUAAACCCUCACCUCCCUGAGAAGCCAGUGUUGAGUUUGUCUGUGUUACACAAAGGACGACUGAAUUCCUGAGAACAUUUUUCAUUACAUGAAGAAACCACUUCCUGUCACACAACCAGGAGAACCUUGUGCAAAAGGUAGAGAGGCUUGAGCAUGUUAAGGGACCAGAGGGAUACGACAGUGCAGGAGAAAAUCCCAUGGUGAAGCCUGCAGGUCUGUGUUUGGUGUGACCAGGAUAUGUGAGUGGAACCUCACUGAAGAUCUAUUACCAGUUGACAGAAGACAAAAAAAUUCAAAGCUGGCUUAUAGGGCCCACACUAAGAGUGUUGCAAGCAUGGCAUCUACUUAGAGGAGGAAUUUAGGAUUGCUGCAUUGGGAAAAAAGAAAAAAAAAACAGGGAAAAGAAAAGAAAUGUUUCCCUGCGGUUGUUUUCUCUUCUCACACUGUAGCCACAUUUCCAGUACUAAAAGGAGCUAUACAUUUGGAACCCAAGAUCAGAGCACGAGUUUCAACAGACGUUAUGGCAAGUGUUGCGACAAUAGUACAGACAUUGAAAUCUGUAUUGACCCAGAAAUUGACUGACCUCCUUCUCAACCUCAGCAGGACCAGAGAGAAACCCUCGAACAUCCUCUUUUCUCCUCUAUGCAACGAUGGCCUCUCUCCUCCAAGUACCAUCACCCUCACGAGUCCUCAAACCUGGCCACACGUUUAGUCACCCAGGGAGCUUUUAACGAAAACAAUUCCCUGGGCUCCAUCCCAGACCUCUGGGACUAGGGCCCAGGCUGGAUAUUUUAAAAGGCUCCAUAAUUAAUUCUAAUGUGUACCUAAAUUUGAAUACCACAGUCCUAGACCAAGCCAGAUGCCAGUAAAUAAGCCUAGAUUCCUCCUUCUUCCCAUCAGGAAGAAUCUAAUUGGUCAACUAAAACACAAAUCUGCCUUCUAAAUUGUUCUCCUCCAACUUCUCUAUGAUUGACUUAGAAUUUUCCUUGCUGUGACCUUGUAGUAGUUUUUCUUUCCUCUCAUAUUCUCUUUUCCCAUUAUGGUGCAUUGUUCUUGCUGCGAUGGGGUGAUCUUUGUAGUUUUGCCAGCCAUCACUUUUCUUAAAAUUCUUCGGUGAUUCAUCAGAACUUUAGGACACAGUGAUGCGGACUCUUUAUUUUCUGAUCACUACCUGCUAUCUAGUUUCAUGUUUUGUCACCCUCCUCCCCACCCCCAUACUCUCCAUAAAACCAAAUGACUUUCUUGUGCUCUCAUGUCUUUGCCUCUGACUGUCCAUCUUCCAGUUCUGCUCUUAAGCUGACAGCUGCAUUUUGUCAAACUGAGAUCAAGUCCUCUCUCUCUGCACAUGCUCUCUUUGCCAUCAUACCCUGUGGCUAACUACAUUAUGCCACUGACAUACCAAGUUGACACAAAAGUCCUACACUGACUGGAGCCUGUUGAUCUUGCUCAGACCUAUACUUAAAUGUGUGCCCUGCACAUAGUAAGUGCUUGAUACGUCAAUGUCAAAUGCAUGGAGAAUCGAAUAAAUGAAUGAACACAUUAAAUCA